rnacentral:rRNA from 1 species
UCUGGGAUAACCUCCGGAAACGGAAGCUAAUACCGGAUAUGACGCACGGAGGCAUCUCCUGUGCGUGGAAAGAACUUCGGUCAAGGAUGGACUCGCGGCCUAUCAGGUAGUUGGUGAGGUAACGGCCCACCAAGCCUACGACGGGUAGCCGGCCUGAGAGGGUGACCGGCCACACUGGGACUGAGACACGGCCCAGACUCCUACGGGAGGCAGCAGUGGGGAAUAUUGCACAAUGGGCGCAAGCCUGAUGCAGCAACGCCGCGUGAGGGACGACGGCCUUCGGGUUGUAAACCUCUUUUAGUAGGGAAGAAGCGAAAGUGACGGUACCUGCAGAAAAAGCACCGGCUAACUACGUGCCAGCAGCCGCGGUAAUACGUAGGGUGCGAGCGUUGUCCGGAAUUAUUGGGCGUAAAGAGCUCGUAGGCGGUCUGUCGCGUCUGCUGUGAAAUCCCGAGGCUCAACCUCGGGCCUGCAGUGGGUACGGGCAGACUAGAGUGCGGUAGGGGAGAAUGGAAUUCCUGGUGUAGCGGUGGAAUGCGCAGAUAUCAGGAGGAACACCGAUGGCGAAGGCAGUUCUCUGGGCCGUAACUGACGCUGAG